AUUGUACCCACCUAUAACGAGAAAGCUUAACUUACUGACAUAUUCUCAUUGCUGAAGACUCUGUCUGAAUGAGGAUUUCAAUCUCAAGUCUAGGAUGUGAUUUCAUCUGUUUUUCUUUCUGUUUCCAGGUGAAGGGGAGAGGCAGACACGGAAGAAGCGCAUCUGUAGCUAAGAAAGAAAUACACUGACCCCAUUUCCAGUGGUUGAGCUUCUCUCCAAGUAGGUAGAUGCUGGCGAUGAAGACGUAGCUGAGAGAGAAGAAAGCUGCUAGACCCAAGAGGCUGAGUUUGGCAAACACAGGAUACACCCAGGUACCCGUCUCAAAGUAGAGCCAUAGGAUGCUGCAGGAAAUAAGAAGUCGUGGUGGUUAUAGCAGGAGGAGAAAAACAAGCCAUUUUCUCAUCAGGAUUAAUGAGGUACUGGUACCCAGGCAGGGGAAGAGAACCCAUCAGGGACGUUUGUCAACAGCUGUAGUAUUCCCACAAACCUAAAGAAGUGAGGCUUUUCUGGGUAAAUCAACUUGAUUCAAUAAGACAUGCUGUUUGAUGGGCUGGGCUGGGCUGUUUUACCUAAUCCACUUAAAUUCAACAUUGGUGAAAAAAUAUAAGAGAACAUAGGGCCAGGCACUGUGGCUCAUGCCUGUAAUCCCAGCACUUUGGGAGGCUGAGGGGGGUGGAUCACCUGAGGUCAGGAGUUCGAGAGCAGCCUGGCCAACAUGAUGAAACCCCAUCUCCACUAAAAAUACAAAAAAUUAACUGGGCAUGGUGGCUCAGGCCUGUAAUCCCAGCUACUAGGGAGGCGGAGGAAGAAGAAUCGCUUGAACCUGGGAGGCAGAGGUUGCAGUGAUCCAAGAUCACGCCACUGCACUCUAGCCUGGGCAACAAGAGUGAAACUUUGUCUCAAAAACAAACAAACAAACAAACAAACAAACAUAGAACCAUCGUUAGCUAAAGAACUAAAGAGAGUAUGUGGGAACAUGAAUGAUCCCUUUCCCUGAGAGGUAUGGCCUGCUGAGACAUUGAACCUGCUAUUAUGGCAUUGAUUUUGCUGGCUCUAAGCCAGAGAAGUGGGGUUUGCUUUUUUGGAUCUAAGAAUCAGGUGCAGCUUUCCCUUAGCUCUCCAAGUCUGCGGGGAUGAGGGAGCAGAGAUAGAGCGUUAUUGCCCUAACACAAUAUGCCUAGGAUUUAACUGUCGGCCCUGAUUUUCACUCAUGCAUAUAGCCAUAAAUAGAGUGUUAGGCAGUAAUGCAUGGAUUUGCAGGGAGGCUCAGAUCUUGCUUAUGUGAGGAUAGGCUGUAAGUCAUUUCUGGAAGCCGAGAGAAGGAAAAGAAAUGCUAGGAGAAGAGCCAUGAUGUCUAAGUGAAGCCUAAAAAUGCAGUUUGCUGGAAACCAACUGCACUGGAAGGUGCCAAAGUCUGAAAUAACUUUAAAAAAUUAAAUGUGGGGAAGCUGAUGCAUCAGCUACAGUUCAUCAUUGGUUAGGAGCACAGAAUCUGGAACUGGGCUUCUGUGAUUCAAACCCCAGCUCUGCCACCUAGUAGCUAUGUUACCUCCAGCAAUUUCAUCAACCUUUCUGUCCCCAUCUCCUCAAUGUGUAAAGUGAAGAUCCAAACAGCAUACACCUUCUAAGGCUGUUGUAAAGAUUACGGGAGUUAACACAUGUAAAAGACACAGAACAGUGCUUGGCACAUUGUAAUAUUUGACAAGAGUUCAAAAGCUUCCAUCUCCACUGAGGGAUGGCACAAUGGGAGUGCUCUCAGAAAGCCUUCUUUGAAGCUGCUGAUCUCUUGUAGCAAUUAGGAUAGGCCAGGUUAUGCUUCAAAAACAAUAUUUAAAUUUGAAUAUCCCACGUUGUCAAAGGAAUUCAGAUGGAAGAAUGAAAUUCUGUGCUUAAACUUUCAGAAACCCAAGGGUGAUCUCUGUCAUUUCAAAUACUUGAAGUUUGUUAAAUGGUUUGUGGAAGAGUCAAGGGCUAUAUUCAGGACCGGGAGUAGGGUGAAGCAAGAGAGGCCCUAGGGUGUAAAACUUAAGGGAUCAUCUCUGCAACAAAGGACACAAUAAACAGUGUGAAAAGGCAAUCCAUGGAAUGGGAAACAAUAUUUCUAAUCAUAUCUCUAAUAAGGGGUUAAUAUCCAAAAUAUGUAAAAUAUUCCUGUAACUCAACAAUAACAAAAAACCCAAAUAACUCAAUUAAAAAUGGACAAAGGACUUGAAUAGACCUUUUACAGAGAAGAUACAUAAAAGGCCAACAAAUGCAUGAAAGGAUGUUCAACAUCACUAAUAACUAGAAGAAAUGCAAAUCAAAAUGACAGUGAGAUAUUGUCUUACACUCAUUAGGAUGGAUACUAUAUUUUUUUUAAAAAGACAAGAUAACAAGUGUUAGUAAGGACAUAGAGAAAUUGGAACCCUUGUUCAUUGUUGGUAGGAAUGGAAGAUGGUACAUCUGCCUUGGAAAACUAUAUGGUGGUUCUCCCCAAAAUUAAAAUAGAAUUACCAUCUGAUCCAGCAAUUCCACUUCUGGGUACACACCCAAAAGAACUGAAAACAUGGCUAACAUGGUGAAACCCCAUCUCUACUAAAUAUACAAAAAAUUAGCCAGGCGUGGUGGCAGGUGCCUGUAGUCCCAGCUACUUGGGAGGCUGAGGGCAGGAGAAUGGCAUGAACCUGGGAGGCAGAGCUUGCAGUGAUUGGAGAUCGCGCCACUGCACUCCAGCCUGGGCGAGAGAAUGAGACUCUAUCUCAAAAAAAAAAAAAAAAGGAAUUGAAAACAGGGAUCUGAAGAGAUAUUUGUACACCCAUGUUUAUAGCAGCAUUAUUCACAAUAGCCUGAAGGUGGAAUCUCCCCAAGUGCCCACUGAUAGAUGAAUGGAUAAAUAAAAUGUGGCUUAUACAUAGGCAUUAAGAAGGAAGAACAUUCUGACACAUGCUACCACACAGAUCAACUUUGAAGACAUGGUAAGUGAAAUAAACCAGUCGUAAAAGGACAAAUACUGUAUAAUUCCAUUUAUAUGAGAAACCUAGAAUGUCAGAUUCAUAGAGGGAGAAAGUAGAAUGGUGCUUGCCAUGUGGUUGCGGGAGGAGGCAGCGGGGAAUGCUAUCUAUGGUUUCAAUAUGGUUUGUUUGUUCGUACCAAAACUCAUGUUGAAAUUUGGUCCUGCGUGUGUUGGUGUUGGGAGGGGGAGCCUAGUGGGAGGUGUUCGGGUCAUGGGGUUGGAUCUCCUAAGAAUGGUUUGAUGCUGUUCUUGUGAUAGUAAGCUCUAGAAAUGGAUUUUUUCUAUGAGAAUGGGUUGUUAUAAAUCUAGGGUGCCCCUCAGGUUUUGCCCUUUUCACACGUGUCCAUUUCCCCUUUGAUCUUCUCCACCACAUUGUGAGGCAGCAGUAAGGCCCUUGUCGGCAGCCAGGGCCAUGCCCUUGAACUUCUCAGCCUGCAGAAUAUGAACUAAAUAAACCUCUUUUCAAUCUCUGAUAUCCUUUUAUAGCAACACAAAAUGGACUGAGCCAGGGAGUUAUUGUUUAACGGGUAGACUUUCAGUUUGGGAAGAUGUAAAAGUUCUGGAGAUGGAUGGUGGUGAUGGAUGCACAACAAGGUAAAUGUACAAAAUGCUACAGAGCUUAAAAAUGAUCAAAAUGGUAAAUCACUUAAAAUCGUUAAAGUUGUAAAUAUUGUGUACCUUUUACCACAAUUUAAAUGUAUCUAAGGAGGUGUCAAUUUUAGGGUCAUAUAAAUGUAGGGUUGGCAUUUAGUUCCUCGCCUGGGCCCUGCUGGUAUCACUCUGCUUUCCCAAACUUGUCUGGAUGUUCCUCCCAGAUUGAGAAUGAGGUGACUAGAACAAACAAUAAUUAUCAUCAUUGUUACUAAUAUUAGAAUUCUUUUUCUUUUUUUAGAUGGAGUCUCACUCUGUUGCUCAGGCUGGAGUGCAGUGGUGCAAUCUCGGCUCACUGCAAGCUCCGCUUCCUGGGUUCAGCGAUUCUCCUGCCUCACCCUCCCGAGUAGCUGGGUUUACAGGCGUGCGCCACCAUGCCCAGCUAAUUUUUGUAUUUUUUGUAAAGACAGGGUUUCACCAUGUUGGUCAGGAUGGUCUCAAACUCCUGACCUUGUGAUCCGCCCACCUCAGCCUCCCAAAGUGCUGGGAUUACAAGCAUGAGCCACCAUGGCCAGCCUAGAGUUCUUUAAGAUAUGCGUUCCAUGGAUGCAUUACAGGAUGCCCACAGUGAUUCUUACCUGCAUGGCUACUUCUCAUGGCAGGACAAAGAAGCAAUCUUGUCACUCCACGAGGGUUCAACUAGCUGCAUCUCCUCAGCCCCAUCUUUCUUGAGACUGCAGGGUCUGAAUUUCUGAAUGGAAAUUCCUCCAGGCAGGUGAUUCUCAAUCUUGUCUCAAAAUUAGAAUUGACUUGAGGGCCUUAAAAAUUCCAAUGCUGAGGGCAUAUCCUGAACCAAUUAAACCAGAGUAUUUUUGAAAUGAGACCUAGAUAUGGGAUAUUAAACUGACUGUUUUACUUAUACCCAAGACGAUUACUUUCACAAUUCAUUUUCAUCUAUCAAUGGAAUCACCAUUUUUCUUGUCUACUAACUUAAAAUUUUUAGAAUUAUCCUAAUUUUUCCUUUUCAUUUGUGUGGUACAUGUCAAUCAAUCCAUAAAACCUAUUCUGUUGUUUCAACAAUGUGUCUCAGGCAUGUCUCUCAUUUCUGAUUCUACAGUUUUACUCUCUUCAUGCCGUUAUUAUUUCUGAUUUCUGUUACAGGCAUUUUGGUUGAAUAAGAACUAAGGUUUGAACAGGAAAGAUGAGAAGAGCAGGAGAUGAGAUACCCUCUCCUCUCCUAGUCCUCCACCUCCAUCCCUCUUCAGUUUGGAUCCUGGCUGGGCUGGACCCCGCAUGUUGACAACAAGGAUGUGUUGUGUGGCAUCUUUUUAAUUAAUUUUCAUAUAUGAAUUUACAGGUAGGGUAAGGAUUUCUUCUGUGGAAAAUGGUGCUGAGAUUCCAAUCCCUGCUGAGUUGAGGUUAUAAAGCUAUGGUUGACCUGGAUGAUCUCAGUUGAAGGUCAUAUUUUGGAAACGGUAACAGUGGCUCUGGUAGGGAGUUCACAACAUGGUUGGUUCUGAGCAGGACCAACCAUGUGUUAGGGAAAAUAUUUAUUCAAUAGAAAAAUGAAUAAAAACCAGAAAGAGAAGAAGAGAAUUGCUGAUUCUGGAAAUGGCAAGGUGGCUGGUCCUGGAACUCAGCUUAGUCCACCCCUUGGCAGUUUUUAAUGUAUUCUCAGGGUAAGAUGUGUACAUGUAUUUGUAAAUGAGGCAUGAAUUUAAAGAACUGUUACUUCUGGGAACCCAGGAAGCUUUGCUGAGGGAUCUUACCCUGGAGAGCACAGUAUAAAAGAAAGUAAUUCUCUCUCUUGCCUCAUAGCAACUACUUUGGGGAAGGGACUUUACAAACAUCUGCCCCAAGGCUGGGUGACAGCUGCAUAUCUGUGCAGUGUUUGUACGGGGCAUGCAAUACUUUACACACUAGCAGGGACACCUGCAGCAUCAGUAGGUUUCUGGUCUACCAAGAGCAGUGUGAUGAUGCACUCCAGGCCAGCUGGGGUGGUUGCUGUGGCGAGUAACAUUGUUAAUUCUACCAACACAGGGGGCUGAUGGGUAAAUGACACUGUUGGCAUCAGCAGUGGGCAUGGUGUGCUAACCCUUAACACUGUGCCAGGUGGGGAUGUUGGACCCAGUGGGGAUUACAGUUUUGCUAUCUGUGUGUAAGAACAAUGCUCAGAACAGUGUGCAGCAUGGGUUGUGCAGUGCACGACAGGGGCAUGUGUGAGCACUCAGCAGAUUAUUGGAACUCCUUGGAAAACUGGACCAAGACCUCCAAGGCAGAAGGGUGCUUGGGGAUAUCACUGGAACUGUGAAAUAACCAUACAUAAAAACUAAGACAUUGUGAUCAAAGUACAUAAUGUGCUGGCUAGUUUUUAUUUUUAUAUUGGUUUAUAUUUUAUUUUGUUUCCCAUCUCUUGUCACUCCAACUUAUUUGAAGCACUAUUGUCAAGAAUGACAUUUUAAAGCAUAAUUUGCUGGCCAAGUUACAAAUACUGCUCACCCUUGCUUCCACUCCAAACAAACAAACAAACAACAGCAACAACAAAUGCUCCCAUUUUCUAUACUAUGUCCAACAUCCUCUAGUCUGCCAUCUGCAAGCCUUCAUGAGUGGGUAGUUCCAGGGAUAUUUCUCAUUAGUCUCUUUCACAAACAGGUCCAGCAAAGAGAAUUACUGACCCUUGCUCUCACGCUUUCUGCACUCUCCUGGCCUUGGGACUGUGCUCCUUUUGUUUACCUUCUCUCAUUUUUUCUAGCUCCAAUCCUGCCGGUCCUUCAGGGCUCAGAUCCAAUGCAUGCCUUCCACAGUGCCCUUCCCACACCGCUCAGCUGGAUGCAAACUCUUCCUUUUCUGUGGCUCCUUGUGUUUUUUUUAUGAGGUUUUACCACUUUCCAUCUUCUGCACUUAUAAUUUGUAUGCAUGGGUCAUCUCCACUUAUUAAGGAUAAACCCCCUGCAGGCUGAAGCUUGGCCUGAUAUAACAUUGCUUUUCUGGGCAGGACCAACCAUGUGUUAGGGAAAAUAUUUAUUCA
rnacentral:lncRNA from 10 species